CAGGAAAACAAGGUGAAUGUGUCCUCUCCAGUCGCUUGUAUGAAAAUUAGAACAUUUCAAGGCCUGUGUGAUAAGGAAUGAUACAAAAGUAGAGGUGUCCUCUUCUCAGUUUCUUCUGCUUCAUGUUACACAGCUGGCCUUUGUGUGCGUCUGUAUAACCUGCUUUCAGAAAACUUUAUCUACUGUUCUGCUAUCUGCUGUUAAUCCCAAAGAUGGAAGCGCAAAUUCUUCAGGAUUAACCUGGAGUCCAUGGAAAUUGUAUGAUAUCAGCAAGAAGAAGGCUUAAAACACCUAUCCAUCCAUCUAUCAUUUGGAUGCAAGCCCGUCGCUGGGAUCGAUGACUCCACAGUGGGAGCUGGGGAUGAAAUGUUCAGGGGUGGAUUUUGGAGCACUGCCUGGUGAAAGGGAAGAUGCCACUGACAGAAAAAAAAUGUGGCCCUGAUGAGCACAUUGCAGAAGGAUGAAGACAAGAAAGACUGCGAGACCGACAGACCAAGCCACAAAUGUAGGAAAUGUGUCUGCGAGUCACACACACAGCACAGAAACAAACUCAAAUUUCUGCACUGGCUGAACAGACAUCCAAAGAGGUUUAUAAAUCCAGCCAUCUAGUCACAUGUGCUCUAAAUAAAGGUUUAAUGCGCAAAGUGACACAUGACAGGGAUAAUUUUUUGUUAAGUUUUGCUUUGAUUUGUCUGUGUAGCAUUAUAUCAAUAUACUUACUAAACUCUAUCAGCAGGCAAAAAUAAAUCAAACCUAAAUAAUUUGUAUGAGAUUGAUUGGCAGAAUGUUUGUUGCCCUGUAUCCUGUGCUAUGCAGUAGCGCCUGGCUCAUGGUGACUGCUGUUAUGGAAGAUGAAUGGAUUGAUAGACUGUGUUUGUAAAUUAGGUAACAUGAAUUUUGCUAGGGGUGAGAGUAAAAUAUUUAUUAUAACCACUGUGAGGUGAUUUAGCCACUGGGUCAAAAUUAACCUGCCAGUGUAACAGAUGUAAAUAUUAUUUCUGAACAUAAUAGACAAAUUAAGAUAACUUUGAAG